rnacentral:ncRNA from 6 species
UAGUUGGUGGAGCGAUUUGUCUGGUUA